AACGAACGCUGGCGGCAGGCCUAACACAUGCAAGUCGAGCGGAUGAGUGGAGCUUGCUCCAUGAUUCAGCGGCGGACGGGUGAGUAAUGCCUAGGAAUCUGCCUGGUAGUGGGGGACAACGUUUCGAAAGGAACGCUAAUACCGCAUACGUCCUACGGGAGAAAGCAGGGGACCUUCGGGCCUUGCGCUAUCAGAUGAGCCUAGGUCGGAUUAGCUAGUAGGUGAGGUAAAGGCUCACCUAGGCGACGAUCCGUAACUGGUCUGAGAGGAUGAUCAGUCACACUGGAACUGAGACACGGUCCAGACUCCUACGGGAGGCAGCAGUGGGGAAUAUUGGACAAUGGGCGAAAGCCUGAUCCAGCCAUGCCGCGUGUGUGAAGAAGGUCUUCGGAUUGUAAAGCACUUUAAGUUGGGAGGAAGGGCAGUAAGCUAAUACCUUGCUGUUUUGACGUUACCAACAGAAUAAGCACCGGCUAACUUCGUGCCAGCCGCCGCAGUAACAC
rnacentral:rRNA from 1 species